rnacentral:rRNA from 1 species
CCUACGGGCGGCUGCAGUGGGGAAUAUUGCACAAUGGGCGCAAGCCUGAUGCAGCCAUGCCGCGUGUGUGAAGAAGGCCUUCGGGUUGUAAAGCACUUUCAGCGGGGAGGAAGGCGUUAAGGUUAAUAACCUUGUCGAUUGACGUUACCCGCAGAAGAAGCACCGGCUAACUCCGUGCCAGCAGCCGCGGUAAUACGGAGGGUGCAAGCGUUAAUCGGAAUUACUGGGCGUAAAGCGCACGCAGGCGGUCUGUCAAGUCGGAUGUGAAAUCCCCGGGCUCAACCUGGGAACUGCAUUCGAAACUGGCAGGCUAGAGUCUGGUAGAAGGGGGUAGAAUUCCAGGUGUAGCGGUGAAAUGCGUAGAGAUCUGGAGGAAUACCGGUGGCGAAGGCGGCCCCCUGGACAAAGACUGACGCUCAGGUGCGAAAGCGUGGGGAGCAAACAGGAUUAGAUACCCCUGUAGUC